CUUAGAGUUUGAUCCUGGCUCAGAACGAACGCUGGCGGCGUGCUUAACACAUGCAAGUCGAACGGGAUCCAGAGCUUGCUCUGGUGAGAGUGGCGCACGGGUGAGUAACGCGUGGAUAACCUGCCCUGGUAUCUGGAAUAACAUCUCGAAAGGGGUGCUAAUACCGGAUAAGCCUACGGAGCCUUCGGUCUCUGCAGGAAAAGGUGGCCUCUAUUUAUAAGCUACCGUAUCAGGAUGGGUCCGCGUACCAUUAGCUAGUUGGUAGGGUAAUGGCCUACCAAGGCUACGAUGGUUAGCUGGUCUGAGAGGAUGAUCAGCCACACUGGAACUGAGACACGGUCCAGACUCCUACGGGAGGCAGCAGUGGGGAAUUUUGCGCAAUGGGGGAAACCCUGACGCAGCAACGCCGCGUGAGUGAUGAAGGCUUUCGGGUCGUAAAGCUCUGUCAGUAGGGAAGAAAUGAGACGUGCUAAUACCACGUUUUCUUGACGGUACCUACAAAGGAAGCACCGGCUAACUCCGUGCCAGCAGCCGCGGUAAUAC
rnacentral:rRNA from 1 species